GAUGAACGCUAGCGAUAGGCCUAACACAUGCAAGUCGAGGGGCAGCAUAGAGUAGCAAUACUUUGAUGGCGACCGGCGCACGGGUGAGUAACACGUAUGCAACCUACCUACAUCAGGGGAAUAACCCGGAGAAAUUCGGACUAAUACCGUAUAAUACAGGGAUGCCGCAUGGCAAUAUUUGUUUAAGAUUUAUCGGAUGUAGAUGGGCAUGCGUUCCAUUAGCUAGUUGGUGAGGUAACGGCUCACCAAGGCAACGAUGGAUAGGGGAACUGAGAGGUUUGUCCCCCACACUGGAACUGAGACACGGACCAGACUCCUACGGGAGGCAGCAGUGAGGAAUAUUGGUCAAUGGGCGAGAGUCUGAACCAGCCAAAUCGCGUGAAGGAAGACUGCCCUACGGGUUGUAAACUUCUUUUGUACAGGAAUAAAAGACAUUACGUGUAAUGUAUUGCAUGUACUGUACGAAUAAGCAUCGGCUAACUCCGUGCCAGCAGCCGCCGUAA
rnacentral:rRNA from 1 species